GAGGUUAACAGCUCAGUGGUAGAGCAUGUGCUUAGCAUGCGUGAGGUCCUGGGUUCAAUCCCCAGUACCUCCA
rfam:Camelus ferus unplaced genomic scaffold scaffold743, whole genome shotgun sequence.